UACGAAAGGUGCAAGCGUUAAUCGGAAUUACUGGGCGUAAAGCGCGCGUAGGCGGUGUGUUAAGUCGGAUGUGAAAGCCCAGGGCUCAACCUUGGAACUGCAUCCGAUACUGGCACGCUAGAGUGCAGUAGAGGGAGGUGGAAUUUCCGGUGUAGCGGUGAAAUUCGUAGAUAUUGGAAAGAACACCAGUGGCGAAGGCGGCUCACUGGCUCGGUACUGACGCUGAGGAGCGACAGCGUGGGGAGCAAACAGG
rnacentral:rRNA from 1 species